GAAAAUCCGUCGACUUUAUAAAUCGUGAGGGUUCAAGUCCCU
rnacentral:tRNA from 1 species